rnacentral:tRNA from 1 species
CCAUCUGUGGUUCAGUGGUAGAAUGUUCGCCUGGCACGCGGGCGGCCCGGGUUCGAUUCCCGGCUAAUGCA